UGUCAUUUGUACAGUUCUUAAAUAUACUGUAUAGCCAUAUGGAUAUAUAUAUAUGUCACAUUUGACUAAGAAACAUUGCAGUGGUACUGUUUUCCCUGAGUGAGGUGGAUUUAUGGCAUUUUGCAACAGAAUAUGAUAGUCUCUUUGAAAUGAAACCAUCUAAUGAUAGAUUUCAAACAAAUACACGUCUGUCAUUUAAUAACCAUGCCCCGAUGUGGAAAAACACAUCUGUCUUUAUUUCAUGUCAACUGUCUAUUUGGGGCUAUGGUUUGUUUUGGACAGGACUAUAGUAACACUGUCAAAAACCGGAUGUGAUGCUGAGGAAAUUCCGAAGUUUCAUUUCCAGUCAGAACUGUUAGUCAGGAAAGGAGAACUGGCAUCUCAGCUGGCUUUCACUGCCAACAAAACAUUACUGUGCUGCAAGUUUAUAAUGUUCAACUGAAACUAAAACAAAUAUUAAUCAUGAAAAAAAUGAAUACUCGUACACAUGACAUGCACAUUUAUACUGACUACACACACUCAUGAAACACUGCUGUUACUCUAUUCAUCAUAUAUACUGAUGCCUAGUCACCUUACCCUUAUACAUAUCUACCUCAAUCGAUCCAGUAUCCCUGCACAUUGUAAAUAUGGUACUGGAACUGACCCUGUACAUAGCAUGCUUACUUUGUCAUCUUUUUAUUUCCAUAUCUCGUGGGUUUUUGUUCUCCCUUGAUUAAUGCAUUGUUAGGGUUAGAGCUCAAAUUCUUAUUUACAAUGACAGCCUACCCCAGCCAAACCCAGAUAACGCUGGGCCUAUGGUGCACCGCCCUAUUGGACUCCCAAUCACAGCCGGAUGUGAUGCAGCCUGGAUUCAAACCAGGGACUGCAGUGAUGCCUCUAGCACUGAGAUGCAGUGCCCAAACUGUACUUAUGUAUGUGACAUUAAAACUUGAAACUGAAACUUGAAAUAAAGUAAUUAACAGACCUAUUUGAAAUACUAAAAGUAUUCUGAAACGUGGAAUGACUCCAAUGUAAAACUGGAGUCAUGAGAAGGGCUAACCUAUGACCUGACCCAUCACCUUAUAUAUUACUGCCCCCCAGUUAUGACACCCCAAAAAACACACAAAAACUCUACAACCAAUAUUUCUUCUAGCCUCCCACAAAUACUUAAUGCUCUUAACACUAAAACUGAAACAAAAUAAUAUAAAAAUGAAAUAUAAAUAUUUUUUUAACAACUUAAACUAAAUAAAGUUAUGUAAAAACUAACAGAAAUAAAAACAAGUAUAAAAACACAUAACCUUGCUGUUCUGUCUCCACACUGACAUGUCAUUAUGCUACCAACAUGAUGUCAUCAUGGCCAUAAAAGUUUAAAACUAGUUUACAUUUUUUCUUUUUUUUGUUUACCUUUCAAAAUGGUAAUAUUUGGUGACACUUUACAUUAAGGUACUAUUUUAAGUGUGUUUUAAGUACAUGUAACUGCCAAAAUAAAGGAAACACUUGAAUAAAUGAUGGAUACAAAGUAUAUUGAAAGCAGGUUCUUCCACACAGGUGUGGUUCCUGAGUUAAUUAAGCAAUUAACGUCCCAUCAUGCUUAGGGUCAUGUAUAAAAAUGCUGGGCAGGCC
ensembl:lncRNA